UUUCCUUCUUUCUCUCUUCUCUCCCCGUUUCAGCGACAACCCUAUUCUCCGUUUCAGCGACAGCCCCGUUCCUCCCUUCAAUUUUCGUUCACCAAAGCUCAAGCUCUGCCGACUUGACCACCCUCGCCUUGCUACCGAUCCCUCCAACCACCGCUUUUCUUAUUUUCGGUUUGUCAUAGCGCAAAAGAGAGAGAAGAGCCUGUGUUAUUUUCUGAUUCAAGCUCCACAUACAAUUUCGGCCAUCUGAGCUCAAGUCGCGCCGACCAGAGCUCCUUGUCAUGUCAUUCUUCCUCCGUUCACUCUUUCUCCACUAUUGUUUUCGGCUAACGUAGCAAUCAGGUGAAGCUGCGAUUGUGGUUGUGAUCAGGACAGUCAGCUUUUCAUCCCUGCUUGCAUUUUUCAGCGAAAACAGCCAAGGAUUGGCUGGUCUAGGUCUCCUACGUCACCACCGGUAUUCCUCCGGCGGCUCAUAUUUCCAAUGUUGAAUGUUACAUUUAUUAUCUGGUCUUAUAAGACCAGAUAGUGGGUGUUACACGACGACUACCCUUUUCAUUUCCCAGACUGAUGGCAGUGGCAGUAGCUAGAUUGGAGAGUAGAUGUAGUCUCCGAUCAUUUUUACUGGAAAACUUCAGUCUCCAACGCGUUUUACAACUAGGUUUGUGAGGGCGGUCUGUGAUACUGUCGACCAUAAAUGGAGAGAUUGGUGCCCCCUGUGCAUCUAUGUAUGAAUGAUAUGAAAAAAAAAAAACCACAGCAUGGCCUCUUGCUGGUAAUGGAAAAGAAAAGAGAGAAGGAAAAAACAAUGAAAGGGCUGGUAAAGUGAGGAUUAGACUGGUCAACCAUGUAUGAGGGAUCAGCUCCCUGGUGCACACGCAUGAGAGGGUAGGCCAUGUGUGAGGAUGACUCGUCGAGGGUUUCGGUGACGCCCCAAACCAAUCUCCACUUCCUUGAUUAUGUGAACGUGGUAUUAUAGAUGCUAUUAUUUGCCAUGUGCGUGACUGAUUGAGUGUUCAGCUUAGUGCCUUCAGGAAUCAUCUCGUUUGAAUGUCUGGGACAUGUGCUAUUUAUUAUUGCUCAUUGAGUUGUAAAAUUAACCCCCAUUUUUAUUUAAAUUUUUCAAGAAGCAUUCUUUCUCUAUUCCUACAGUAGUUCUAUUUCCUACCACCACAUAUUUAAGAAUGUAAUAGAUUUCUUAUAACACCCUUCUUUCCAUGUAACUACUAUUUAUAUGAUCAGGUUGUACGUAAAUUUUAGUUGAGCUCCGC